GAUGAACGCUGGCGGCGUGCCUAAUACAUGCAAGUCGAGCGAACAGACGAGGAGCUUGCUCCUCUGACGUUAGCGGCGGACGGGUGAGUAACACGUGGAUAACCUACCUAUAAGACUGGGAUAACUUCGGGAAACCGGAGCUAAUACCGGAUAACAUGUUGAACCGCAUGGUUCAACAGUGAAAGACGGUCUUGCUGUCACUUAUAGAUGGAUCCGCGCCGCAUUAGCUAGUUGGUAAGGUAACGGCUUACCAAGGCAACGAUGCGUAGCCGACCUGAGAGGGUGAUCGGCCACACUGGAACUGAGACACGGUCCAGACUCCUACGGGAGGCAGCAGUAGGGAAUCUUCCGCAAUGGGCGAAAGCCUUACGGAGCAACGCCGCGUGAGUGAAGAAGGUCCUCGGAUCGUAAAACUCUGUUAUUAGGGAAGAACAAAUUUGUAAGUAACUAUGCACGUCUUGACGGUACCUAAUCAGAAAGCCACGGCUAACUACGUG
rnacentral:rRNA from 1 species